UAUGUAGUGCCUGAUAAAAGGAUAGCUUUGAUAGAGCUAAUAAUGUGUUUUAGCUUCACCUACAUAG
rnacentral:tRNA from 1 species